CGAUGGCGGGCGGGCUGGGGCCGUGGCUGCUGGCCUUGGCCUUGGGGCCGGCGGGAGUGUGUGCACAGUGGAGACUGGAAGCAUCUGGCGGAGGUGUGCGAGCACCUGGGGAGUCCGUGCAGCUCUCCUGCCAGGGAUCCGGCUUCAGCUUUGGAAAUUACCAUGUUCUGUGGUACCGUCAGGCACUCGGUGGUCAUCUCAAGUGGCUAUCCUACAUCACAACAGGCUCAUAUAUUGAAUCCAGCCCAGAGUUGGAGGGUCGAUCCUCAGUCACUCGAGACAAUUCCCGCUCUGUGUCCUUUCUGUCUCUCCGUGCCCUGCGCCCACACGACUCAGCGCGCUACUUCUGUGCUGUUCACACGGGAACAGGAAAUCCUGCAGAGCUGUAACAAAAAUCCCCUUCUUAGACACAGCCUUGGCUGCAGAACCACAGAGCUGGCAGGAGCUGGAGCAUCUCUGGGCUUCUGGACAGUGAGGGAAUUUCACUGCACACCACAGAUGACCCUGUCCUUUCUGCCAGGUCUCCCAUGACUUCUGAGUCACAAAAGCAGUGUUGUGACCUGAGGAUUAUAUUCACAGUAUUUCUGGUCACCCUUUCAGCUCGGCCACUUUACCUGCCUUCCUACCUGCAGCAUGUCUGCACCUGCUUUUGAUUUCCUUCUUUUCUUGGGUACUCAAAAGCACUUGGGCACUUCUAGCAACAGCAUUGCCUGCUUUCAUCACCGGUGGAUGGCUUUUUCCAUGUUUCUCUGUGAGCAAAGCAGUGGCUGAAUAGAUCUGAUGUGUCUUCAGAGUGAUGGCAUUUCAGAGUGAUGGAAUGCAAGGUCUGUAGCCUUGCAGCAAGCAGGGCAAUCUGAGACCCUUCAAAUUACAUAGGUUACACUGAAAACGAUACCUGCCAUGUGAUUCCAUAGAAGC